CAGGCUUAACACAUGCAAGUCGAGGGGCAGCAUGGUCUUAGCUUGCUAAGGCCGAUGGCGACCGGCGCACGGGUGAGUAACACGUAUCCAACCUGCCGUCUACUCUUGGACAGCCUUCUGAAAGGAAGAUUAAUACAAGAUGGCAUCAUGAGUCCGCAUGUUCACAUGAUUAAAGGUAUUCCGGUAGACGAUGGGGAUGCGUUCCAUUAGAUAGUAGGCGGGGUAACGGCCCACCUAGUCUUCGAUGGAUAGGGGUUCUGAGAGGAAGGUCCCCCACAUUGGAACUGAGACACGGUCCAAACUCCUACGGGAGGCAGCAGUGAGGAAUAUUGGUCAAUGGGCGAGAGCCUGAACCAGCCAAGUAGCGUGAAGGAUGACUGCCCUAUGGGUUGUAAACUUCUUUUAUAAAGGAAUAAAGUCGGGUAUGGAUACCCGUUUGCAUGUACUUUAUGAAUAAGGAUCGGCUAACUCCGUGCCAGCAGCCGCGGUAAUACGGAGGAUCCGAGCGUUAUCCGGAUUUAUUGGGUUUAAAGGGAGCGUAGAUGGAUGUUUAAGUCAGUUGUGAAAGUUUGCGGCUCAACCGUAAAAUUGCAGUUGAUACUGGAUAUCUUGAGUGCAGUUGAGGCAGGCGGAAUUCGUGGUGUAGCGGUGAAAUGCUUAGAUAUCACGAAGAACUCCGAUUGCGAAGGCAGCCUGCUAAGCUGCAACUGACAUUGAGGCUCGAAAGUGUGGGUAUCAAACAGGAUUAGAUACCCUGGUAGUCCACACGGUAAACGAUGAAUACUCGCUGUUUGCGAUAUACUGCAAGCGGCCAAGCGAAAGCGUUAAGUAUUCCACCUGGGGAGUACGCCGGCAACGGUGAAACUCAAAGGAAUUGACGGGGGCCCGCACAAGCGGAGGAACAUGUGGUUUAAUUCGAUGAUACGCGAGGAACCUUACCCGGGCUUAAAUUGCAGAUGAAUUACGGUGAAAGCCGUAAGCCGCAAGGCAUCUGUGAAGGUGCUGCAUGGUUGUCGUCAGCUCGUGCCGUGAGGUGUCGGCUUAAGUGCCAUAACGAGCGCAACCCUUGUUGUCAGUUACUAACAGGUUCCGCUGAGGACUCUGACAAGACUGCCAUCGUAAGAUGUGAGGAAGGUGGGGAUGACGUCAAAUCAGCACGGCCCUUACGUCCGGGGCUACACACGUGUUACAAUGGGGGGUACAGAGGGCCGCUACCACGCGAGUGGAUGCCAAUCCCCAAAACUUCUCUCAGUUCGGACUGGAGUCUGCAACCCGACUCCACGAAGCUGGAUUCGCUAGUGAUCGCGCAUCAGCCACGGCGCGGUGAAUACGUUCCCGGGCCUUGUACACACCGCCCGUCAAGCCAUGGGAGCCGGGGGUACCUGAAGUGCGUAACCGCGAGGAGCGCCCUAGGGUAAAACUGGUGACUGGGGCUAAGUCAUAAC
rnacentral:rRNA from 1 species